GCGCCAAAGUUUAUCAGAGUCGACGCAUCGAGCGAUACUAUAAAUAGUUGGCCUGGCAUCGCGCAGUAUAAGUCGACCUUGUCCUUUCGCUUAUAUAACACCUUCGGCCGCAAAUUGCAGCUUCAUUUAAUCCAGGUCUGUCAGUCGGCGCGUAUAGACUCCCUCGGACUAAUGCGAACAAAUAAGAGAUCAAAUAAGAGAGAAGGAACAAAGUUAGAUACACAGUUACCAAUACAAACGGAUUCACCACGCGCGUUUUCAUCCGACACAAGUGAGUACUACUUCAGAACUGUGGACCUUGGCCAAAAUACAUUCAUUAUACAAGAUGGCCUGUUAUUCAUCAACGAC